rnacentral:rRNA from 1 species
GACGAACGCUGGCGGCGUGCCUAACACAUGCAAGUCGAACGGAAAGGCACUGCUUUUGUGGGGUGAUCGAGUGGCGAACGGGUGAGUAUCACGUGAGUAACCUGCUCUUGUCUUUGGGAUAACUUCAGGUAACUGGGGCUAAUAUCGGACAGGAGCUCCUCCUCCAUGGUGGGCGUUGGAAAGUUUCGGCGGUUGGGGUUGGACUCGAGGCUUAUCAGCUUGUUGGUGGGGUAGGGGCUGACCAAGGCUUUGACGGGUAGCCCGCCUGAGAGGGUGACCGGCCACCAUAAGACUGCGAUACAGCGCAGACGGCUACUUAGGACAGUAGUGGGGAACAUAGCACAGUAAGGACAAGCCAGAUGAGGCAGCGUGGCGAUCGUGAUGACCUGCUACGGGUGAAGAACCGCUUUGGCUUGUGACAUAGCGGGGGUGACGGUAAGGAGUAAAGAAGCACCGGCUAACUUCGUG